AUCCCUGUGGCUCAGUUGGUAGAGCAUGGUGUUUGCAAUGCCAGGGUUGUGGGUUCGAUUCCCCCGGGGGACA
rfam:Salmo salar isolate Sally breed double haploid chromosome ssa25, whole genome shotgun sequence.